rnacentral:rRNA from 1 species
UACGUAGGGUGCAAGCGUUAAUCGGAAUUACUGGGCGUAAAGCGUGCGCAGGCGGUUGUUUAAGACAGAUGUGAAAUCCCCGGGCUCAACCUGGGAAUUGCAUUUGUGACUGCACGGCUAGAGUGUGUCAGAGGGGGGUAGAAUUCCACGUGUAGCAGUGAAAUGCGUAGAUAUGCGGAGGAACACCGAUGGCGAAGGCAAUCCCCUGGGCCUGCACUGACGCUCAUGCACGAAAGCGUGGGGAGCAAACAGG